ACGGAAGGCAGCAGUGGGGAAUAUUGGGCAAUGGGCGAAAGCCUGACCCAGCAACGCCGCGUGAGGGAAGAAGGUCUUCGGAUUGUAAACUUCUUUUAUGAGGGACGAAGGAAGUGACGGUACCUCAUGAAUAAGCCUCGGCUAACUACGUGCCAGCAGCCGCGGUAAUACGCGGGUGGCAAGCGUUAUCCGGAUUUACUGGGUGUAAAGGGCGCGUAGGCGGGGAUGCAAGUCAGAUGUGAAAUCUAUGGGCUUAACGCAUAAACUGCAUUUGAAACUGUAUGUCUUGAGUGAUGGAGAGGUAGAUGGAAUUCCUUGUGUAGCGGUGAAAUGCGUAGAUAUAAGGAAGAACACGAGUGGCGAAGGCGAUCUACUGGACAGUAACUGACGCUGAGGCGCGAAAGCGUGGGGAGCAAACAGGAUUAGAUACCCUGGUA
rnacentral:rRNA from 1 species